GGCUUAGGAUGGUACUGUACA
rnacentral:siRNA from 1 species